rnacentral:rRNA from 1 species
UCCUACGGGAGGCAGCAGUGAGGAAUAUUGGUCAAUGGGCGGAAGCCUGAACCAGCCAAGUCGCGUGAGGGAAUAAGGCCCUACGGGUCGUAAACCUCUUUUGCCGGGGAGCAAGGGCCGGGACGAGUCCCGGUCCGGAGAGUACCCGGAGAAAAAGCAUCGGCUAACUCCGUGCCAGCAGCCGCGGUAAUACGGAGGAUGCGAGCGUUAUCCGGAAUGAUUGGGCGUAAAGGGUGCGCAGGCGGUGCGUCAAGUCUGAAGUAAAAGGUACAGGCUCAACCUGUGCAGGCUUUGGAAACUGGCGC